ACGGAAUAGAUACCCGGGUAGUCCACGCCCUAAACGAUGUCUACUAGUUGUCGGGGAUUCAUUUCCUUGGUAAACGCAGCUAAACGCGUGAAAGUAGACCGCCUGGGGAGUACGGCCGCAAGGUUAAAACUCAAAGGAAUUGACGGGGACCCGCACAAGCGGUGGAUGAUGUGGAUUAAUUCGAUGCAACGCGAAAAACCUUACCUACGCUUGACAUGCCAGGAACUUUCCAGAGAUGGAUUGGUGCCCGAAAGGGAACCUGGACACAGGUGCUGCAUGGCUGUCGUCAGCUCGUGUAGUGAGAUGUUGGGUUAAGUCCCGCAACGAGCGCAACCCUUAUCCUUAGUUGCUACGCAAGGGCACUCUAGGGAGACUGCCGGUGACAAACCGGAGGAAGGUGGGGAUGACGUCAAGUCCUCAUGGCCCUUAUGUGUAGGGCUUCACACGUCAUACAAUGGUCGGUACAGAGGGUCGCCAACCCGCGAGGGGAGCCAAUCCCAGAAAACCGAUCGUAGUCCGGAUUGCAGUCUGCAACUCGACUGCAUGAA
rnacentral:rRNA from 1 species